UGGGCGUUAUGGAAAUGGAGAUGAUUUUAAUAAUCUUCUUGCUCUUUAUGA
rnacentral:sRNA from 1 species